ensembl:lncRNA
CCAGGUUUAUGUCCCAGUUCUGCCACUUGCUGGUUGUGUUAACAAAGGCCUGUCCCGCAUAAGCUCUUGGGAGAGCUCAGCAGGAAGAUGGGGAGAAUGUUAUCUAUUUUAUAGAAUGUGUGGAGUAGGUCCAAGCUUUGCACUUACAGCUACAGGUACAGCUUUUCCUAGCCAGGAAUCAGAGCCCAGUCAUCGGAGGAACUUGCUCCAGGCCUCAGCCGCCAGUCCUGCAGUCUGCUGUUACAGUCCUCAGGUUCUGCCUCGGGGAAACCGACAUCGAAGGUGCAGCGCCAACGCCCGGCUUCCGCCACGUCCUAGUUCCUUACUCACUUGGAAAAAGGGGAGCCGAAAUUCUCAUGGCGAAGGGUCACUGAAAGAUUCAACGUGAAACCUCACCGGAGACAGCUGCCGGAUUAAAGUGACUAACGGACUACGUGUCUUUGAGAGGUCUCCCAGAGAAGCUGAGAACAAACCAGAAGAAGGCGCGGGAGAGAGACUGCCUGUGGUGUUCGUAGCUGUCAUCUACUCGCCUCUCCACUGCUAAUAAAACCCCAAUAAAUAUUGUGGAAUGAAUGCCAGGCGUUGUUCUAGACAAGUCUCAUCAUUUAGUACAUUAUCACAUUUUGA